UGGCAAGUACUACACAACCAGCUCCUGUCGAAUCCUCCAGGGUGGGAACACAGCAAAGGUAAAACGGUCGUAGCGGUGUGAUGUAGUUACUUGCCUUUU
rnacentral:SRP_RNA from 1 species